rnacentral:rRNA from 1 species
UACGUAGGGUGCGAGCGUUGUCCGGAAUUACUGGGCGUAAAGAGCUCGUAGGUGGUUUGUCGCGUUGUUCGGUGAAAACCGGGGGCUUAACCCUCGGCGUGCGGGCGAUACGGGCAGACUUGAGUACUGCAGGGGAGACUGGGAAUUCCUGGUGUAGCGGUGGAAUGCGCAGAUAUCAGGAGGAACACCGGUGGCGAAGGCGGGUCUCUGGGCCGAUACUGACGUGAGGAGCGAAAGCGUGGGGAGCGAACAGG